GUGAGGAAUAUUGGUCAAUGGGCGGGAGCCUGAACCAGCCAAGUCGCGUGAAGGAAGAAGGAUCUAUGGUUCGUAAACUUCUUUUGCAGGGGAAUAAAGUGCAGGACGUGUCCUGUUUUGUAUGUACCCUGAGAAUAAGGAUCGGCUAACUCCGUGCCAGCAGCCGCGGUAAUACGGAGGAUCCGAGCGUUAUCCGGAUUUAUUGGGUUUAAAGGGUGCGCAGGCGGGUUGAUAAGUCAGCGGUGAAAGUUUGCAGCUUAACUGUAAAAUUGCCGUUGAAACUGUCGAUCUUGAGUGCAAAUGUGGUAAGCGGAAUGUGUUGUGUAGCGGUGAAAUGCUUAGAUAUAACACAGAACACCGAUUGCGAAGGCAGCUUACUGGGAUGCAACUGACGCUCAUGCACGAAAGCGUGGGGAUCAAACAGGAUUAGAUACCCGUGUAGUCC
rnacentral:rRNA from 1 species